GUAGGGAAUAUUGCGCAAUGGACGAAAGUCUGACGCAGCGACGCCGCGUGAGUGAUGAAGGCCUUAGGGUCGUAAAGCUCUGUUGAAUGGGAAGAAAAAAAUGACGGUACCAUUCGAGGAAGGACCGGCUAACUUCGUGCCAGCAGCCGCGGUAAUACUAGGGGUCCUAGCGUUGUUCGGAAUCAUUGGGCGUAAAGGGUGUGUAGGUGGCCAUGUAAGUCAGGUGUGAAAGCCCCGGGCUCAACCCGGGAAGUGCAAUUGAUACUGCGUGGCUUGAGUACCGAAGAGGGUAGUGGAAUUCCAGGUGUAGUGGUGAAAUACGUAGAUAUCUGGAGGAACACCGGUGGCGAAGGCGGCUACCAGGUCGAGUACUGACACUGAGACACGAAAGCAUGGGGAUCAAACAGGAUUAGAUACCCCGGUAGUCC
rnacentral:rRNA from 1 species